rnacentral:rRNA from 1 species
CUACGGGCUGCUGCAGUGGGGAAUAUUGGGCAAUGGGCGCAAGCCUGACCCAGCAACGCCGCGUGAGGGAAGAAGGUCUUCGGAUUGUAAACCUCUGUCCUUGGGGACGAAAAAAAUGACGGUACCCAAGGAGGAAGCUCCGGCUAACUACGUGCCAGCAGCCGCGGUAAUACGUAGGGAGCGAGCGUUGUCCGGAAUUACUGGGCGUAAAGGGUGCGUAGGCGGCUUGGCAAGUCAGAUGUGAAAUCCCCGGGCUUAACUCGGGGGGUGCAUUUGAAACUGCUUGGCUUGAGUGCAGGAGAGGAAAGCGGAAUUCCUAGUGUAGCGGUGAAAUGCGUAGAUAUUAGGAAGAACACCAGUGGCGAAUUCGUCUUUCUGGACUGUAAUUUACGAUGAGCCACGAACGCGUGGGGAGCAACCAGGAUUAGAUACCCGCGUAGUC